rnacentral:misc_RNA from 1 species
GAUGAAGAACGCAGCAAAAUGCGAUAAGUAAUGUGAAUUGCAGAAUUCAGUGAAUCAUCGAAUCUUUGAACGCACAUUGCGCCCGCUGGUAUUCCGGCGGGCAUGUCUGUUCGAGCGUCAUUUCAACCCUCAAGCCCCCCGGGUUUGGUGUUGGGGAUCGGCUCUGCCUCACGGCGGUGCCGCCCCCGAAAUACAUUGGCGGUCUCGCUGCAGCCUCCAUUGCGUAGUAGCUAACACCUCGCAACUGGAACGCGGCGCGGCCAUGCCGUAAAACCCCAACUUCUGAAUGUUGACCUCGGAUCAGGUAGGAAUACCCGCUGAACUUAAGCAUAUCAAUAAGCGGAGGA